rnacentral:rRNA from 1 species
GACGAACGCUGGCGGCGUGCUUAACACAUGCAAGUCGAACGGUGAAGGGACUGGUUUUGCUGGUCCUGGAUGAGUGGCGAACGGGUGAGUAACACGUGAGUAACCUGCCCCCUUCUUCUGGAUAACCGCAUGAAAGUGUGGCUAAUACGGGAUAUUCUGGGUCUGUCGCAUGGUGGGCCUGGGAAAGAUUGCGCCUUUUUUGGUGUUUUUGGUGGGGGAUGGGCUCGCGGCCUAUCAGCUUGUUGGUGGGGUGAUGGCCUACCAAGGCGGUGACGGGUAGCCGGCCUGAGAGGGUGGACGGUCACACUGGGACUGAGACACGGCCCAGACUACUACGGGAGGCAGCAGUGGGGAAUAUUGCACAAUGGGCGCAAGCCUGAUGCAGCGACGCCGCGUGAGGGAUGGAGGCCUUCGGGUUGUGAACCUCUUUCGCCAGUGAAGCAGGCCUGCCUCUUUUUGUGGGUGGGUUGACGGUAGCUGGAUAAGAAGCGCCGGCUAACUACGUG